ACACAUCUAGGCCAAUUGCUUAAGUGAAGUGAGUCUCCUCACCUUCCUAAGCCCUGUCCAGGGGGAAUUUUGAUGUAUCACAAAAACCAGCAUCCAGUUGAUGUGACUCUUCUUCCAGGGUCCUGCCCACAAGAAAGAUUGUGACAUCUCACUGGACAAGCACCCACCCAGACUCUGCCAAGAGAGGGGAUUAUUACAUAUUGCAGAGCCCAGCACCUAGGUGGAGUGACUCUCAUCUUUUUCUUCUACCCCGUAUAUAGCCAGCUUGGUGACCUACUAUUUGAGUCUAUACCCAGGCCCAGACCACAGAUGAAAUUGUGCAAUAUGUGGAACAAACACCUAAACAAUAUAUAACACCUUCCUUGGCUCUGUCUACAAAGGGCACUUUUAUAUAUCACUGGGACCAUCAACCAGGUGAUGUUAAUUAUCUUCCUGAAACCUGUCUACAAAGAGAGUUGUGUCGUAUACCUAGGCCCGUCAUGUGAUGUUGUGCCAUAUAACUGAGACCGUAUCAAAAGCCUAAUAACAAGACGUAUGUCUGGAGCCCCGAUAUGCACAGGAUGGUGAUAUAACCCUCUUCUCUGGAAUGGGCCCCACACAAAGGAAGGAUAGUGACAUAUUGCAAGCCCAGGCACACAGGCCCAGAGCACAGUUGAAAUUGUGACAUAUGUACACCAAGCAACCAAGCAAUGUAUAACACCUCAUUUGGCAAUGGAAUCGAGGGCACUUUUACAUAUCACUGAGACCAGCGCCCAGCUGAUGUGAAAUAUUGGCCUGAACCCUGCCUACAAAAGCAUUGUGGCUUUUAUCUAGCUCCAUUACAUAAGUGAUGUGACUUCCUUCUACUGCCUUGGCCCUGCACUUAUGGUGAAUCGUGACACAAAAUUGGGUAGAGCAACCAGCCUGGGCCCUGACCAGCACAGAGAUUGAGGCAUAUUGCUGAACCCAGGACCAAGAUGAAGUCACUCUCCUGCCUUGAUCCUGCACACAGGGACCCUUGUGACAUAUAUACAGGCCAAUUGCCUAGGUGAUGUUGUGCAAUAUACCUGAGACCAGAUCAAUGGCCUAAUAAUGACUCUUUUACCUAGAGCCAGGACAUGUGCAGGAUGGUAACUCUCAUCCCUGAACCUUUCCACAGGUGUUAUUGUCACAUAUACCUUUUCCAGCUCCAAAGUGAUUUAAUAAUCCAGCCUAGUUAUAGCCCACAGAUAAUAUUUGGACAUAUACCUGAGUCAAGAACCUUGGUGAUUUGACUCUCAUGUCUUAACAGUGUCCUCAGAAGGGAUCAUAACAUAUCUCUGGACCCAUCAUCUAGGUUAUGUGACUCUCUUCUCCUGCCUGAACCCUGCUUCCAGUGAAGAGUGUUGCAUUUCUAAGCACUGCAUCCAAAUGACAUGAGUUUCUUGCCUGGGCCGUUUCAACAGAAGGCAUUGUGACAUAUCUCUAGGUCUAUCAUUUAGGUGAUAUGACUCUCCUCUCCUGCCUGGACACUCUCCACAAGGGGCAUUAUGCCAUAGAGCUAGAGCUAGCAACCAAGUUUUGUGAAUUUUCUGUUAGGGCCUUGCCUACAAAGAGAAUUUUGGAAUAUUUCUGGCUUAGAAUUUAAGUAAUGUGGUUGUUCUGCCUGUUCAGUAACCACAGAGGAGAAGGUGAAAUAUAUCUAGGCACCGCAAACAGGCAUGAUAAUGAGUCUUGUAUGUGGACCCAGCAAAUAGGAGAAA
ensembl:lncRNA LINC00293 long intergenic non-protein coding RNA 293